rnacentral:misc_RNA from 1 species
UGACUUCAAAUGCAUGUAUUGUCAGACAUUAUUGUGAUGAUUGCUAUCUGAUUGUCACUACCUCUGAGGCAAAGUAAUCACUUGAAUUUGGAUUUUGUAAUUGGCUGUCCUUAUUGNGAUGUGGCAUUUGCUUGGCAUUUUCUUUUUGGGUGGUUAGGAUUUAUCCGAUCUUUCUAAUAUUUGGCUCUCUGUUAAUCUACGAACCGGACUAUAUAUACUGCAAGAUGAUUUUCACUUUGCCUAUGAUGGGUUUUAGAUACUUAAUCUGAGGUACUACGUAUCUUUUCUGAGAUGACAAUGCAAUAUGCUUUCCUUGCCGGAUGAUUGACGUUUUGAUAAAUAUUGAUUUAAAUCAGGAAGUAUUUGCUUUUUCAUAUGGUAGCUCUGCAUGAUCAGCGUGGCUUGGCAAAUGAACAUUGAUGAUUACUCGUUCUUUCUUUAGGGAAAGUAUAUAUAUCUGUGAGCGCGCGCGUUGGUGAAUUUUAAAAUUAAAAAGAAAUUCAAAAUGGAAAAAUGAGUGACUCGUUGGCUAUGGCUAUGCACUUUCCUUUUAAAAUCUCAUCUGUGUUGGAGGACUGGAAGCCACAGUGGGAUAUAACUCAUAAUCAUUCGUCGUCCAAUGAGUCAAAGGCCUCUGUGAAAUUUACUGCGAUGAUAAAGUCCGAGUGAAGAUCGGUAGACAUAGAACGGUCUGGCUCUGUUGAGGAUGGCGCUAAGGGAGUGCGUUAGUGUAUUGAAAGGGUUGCAAGAUUGCUAAAAUGAUGAAUGGGGAAUUGAGAUAGGGAAGAGAUUUGAGAUAUGGAAUGCAGAAAGUAGUUUC